GGGAGCUCUCCCAUAUGGUCGACCUGCAGGCGGCCGCGAAUUCACUAGUGAUUAGAGUUAGAUCAUGGCUCAGAUCGAACGCUGCCGGCAGGCCUAACACAUGCAAGUCGAGCGGUAGAGAGAAGCUUGCUUCUCUUAGAUCGGCGGACGGGUGAGUAAUGCCUAGGAAUCUGCCUGGUAGUGGGGGAUAACGUUCGGAAACGGACGCUAAUACCGGAUACGUCCUACGGGAGAAAGCAGGGGACCUUCGGGCCUUGCGCUAUCAAAUGAGCCUAGGUCGGAUCAGCUAGUUGGUGGGGUAAAGGCCUACCAAGGCAUCGAUCAGUAGCUGGUCUGAGAGGACGACCAGCCACACUGGAACUGAGACACGGACCAGACUCCUACGGGAGGCAGCAGUGGGGAAUUUUGGACAAUGGGCGCAAGCCUGAUCCAGCAAUGCCGCGUGAGUGAAGAAGGCCUUCGGAUGGUAAAGCUAUUCUGUCAGGGAAGAACCGGUGAGGGCUAAUAUCCCUUGCUAAUGACGGUGCAUGAAGAAUAAGCACCGGCUGCGUACGUGCCAGCAGCCGCGGUAACACUAAUCGAAUUCCCGCGGCCGCCAUGGCGGCCGGGA
rnacentral:rRNA from 1 species